rnacentral:rRNA from 1 species
AACGAACGCUGGCGGCAUGCCUAACACAUGCAAGUCGAACGAACCCUUCGGGGUCAGUGGCGCACGGGUGCGUAACGCGUGGGAAUCUGCCCUUUGCUUCGGAAUAACAGUUAGAAAUGACUGCUAAUACCGGAUGAUGUCUUCGGACCAAGGAUUUAUCGGCAAAGGAUGAGCUCGCGUAGGAUUAGGUAGUUGGUGGGGUAAAGGCCUACCAAGCCGACGAUCCUUAGCUGGUAUGAGAGGAUGAUCAGCCACACUGGGACUGAGACACGGCCCAGACUCCUACGUGAGGCAGCAGUGGGGAAUAUUGGACUAUGGACGCAAGUCUGAUCCAGCAAUGCCGCGUGAGUGAUGAAGGCCUUAGGGUUGUAAAGCUCUUUUACCAGGGAUGAUAAUGACAGUACCUGGAGAAUAAGCUCCGGCUAACUCCGUGCCAGCAGCCGCGGUAAGAC